GACGAACGCUGGCGGCGUGCUUAACACAUGCAAGUCGAACGAAGAGGCGGAGAGGUGAGUAAUACGUGGGUAACCUGCCCUACGUGUUAGGAUAAGCCUUGGAAACGGGGUCUAAUACCGAAUAAAGGGGGAUGGGCUCGCGGCCUAUCAGCUUGUUGGUGGGGUGAUGGCCUACCAAGGCGGUGACGGGUAGCCGGACUGAGAGGCGGACCGGCCACAUUGGGACUGAGAUACGCCCCAGACUCCUACGGGAGGUAGCAUUGGGGGAUAUUGCAGAAUGGUCGAAAGCCUGAUGCAGCGACGCGGAGUGGGGGUUGGAGUCUUUAGGGUUGUAAACCUCUGUCGCUAUUUAACGGGUAGCUGGCGAAGAAGCGCCGGCUAACUACGUGCCAGCAGCCGCGGUAAUUC
rnacentral:rRNA from 1 species